UGAUUAAUUAACACAGUUCUCCAAAGUAAAAUCCAGGUUCUAUGUCCAGAAGAAGCGGAGGCAGAUACGUGGCAGGCCCAAACAAAAGAUAUCCACUUCGGGAUAUCCAAUUCCAGCAGCUCUGACCCCAGGAGGACUCUGCCUAUCUGCAGUUUUUAUCCCCACGCUGCUGGGAGGACCAUCUUUGUCCCUGGGAUUUAUGGCACCCACAAGCCUCCCGGUUAGUCCCACCCUGGGACCCCUACAAAAUGCCCAGGUCCCCUCCCUCCAGGCUGCUCUGCCCCGGGUCACUGGGCCCGAGGGCCACAUCUGCUGCCAACAUUCAUUCCACAUGACUGUCCGGAAAGACUGACAGUUGACAGCGACUGCAGUUCUCACUCGCCCUGGCACCAGGCCCUCUUAUUUUCUUUAAAACUGUCCAGAAACUGUGCUUGCUGUCCCCAGGAGCAGGGGCUAAUCGGAACUAUGUAAAACGUGUGUCUUCAGGCGUUAACGUGCCCGUUAGCCACCUUAGAGGCGCAAGUGUUGGGCAAUGUGAGAGACGUGUGUUCAAGGCAGCUGCUGUUGGGACAGUUUCUGCCAAGAGAAGACUGUCAGGCUUUGAGCCACUGUGGGCUGCUUAAGGGACUUUGCCCUUUUUGUUCCCGCAUCCUUGUUUAUUGGGAUCCUUCCCAAAGGAGCUGGGUAUGCAUCAGAGGCUGCAGAUCAGGAGGUGCCUCCUUUGUGGUUUUGUGGUUUGAUUUAAAGCCGCCAGAAGUGGGGGCUGGUUAAUCAAGGAGGUUUUGCUCCUGGGUCCCGGAUUCUGUGUGGGGAGGGAGGGCUCCUGGCACCACCUUCCUUGAACAAUGCGUUUGUCCUCAGGGCUCAUCCUUUUGCUGCAGCUCGUUUUUAUCUCCCGUCUUAUCCUGGCAAACUCAUUUAAUAUUUUCCUCUGCUGCUUGCAGAUUGCUUGACUUUGAGCAGUUUCCCCUGGUGCCUGACUGAUGUUUGGGUUUUUGUGAAUGUACACUUUGGGACCAUCUUGAUCUUUAGGAAUCCAAGGAAGUUUUGUUUGGUACACUGAUCUUUCCAUCUUCCCAAGCUUGUCCCUACAGAUGUCCCCUGCUCCCAUAGUGGCAGCGCCAUUCUUCUGGGUGCUGAGGCCACACCACUUAGAAUUAUUCUUGAUCCCUCCCUUUUUCCUUUUCCUACAUUCCAUCUGUCAUCAGACCCUGUGGGUUUUUCCCCUCAAAAUACACUCAGACUCCAUCUGCUUCUCACCACCCCCUGAUCCAUGCACCAUGACCUCCUCCCUGGUCUCCUGCUCCCAGAGGGAAUGCGUUAACAGCUCAGAGGUGUCUUGUCACACCUGUGCUCAGAACCCUCCCCUGGCUCCCAUCGCACUCAGAGCAAAAGCCAAAUUGCCCGAAUAACUCUGAUCCGUCCUCUUCCCUUCUCCGGCCCCUCUGCCCCGCCACUCACCUCGCUGUACAUCAGACCUGGUCCUCAGGGCCUUUGCACAGGCGACUGCCUCUGCUUUGCCCAAAUGUCACUUUCUCAGGGAGGCCUUCCCUCAUUACUUAAAUAACUUAAAAUUAAAACAUGCCACUUAACAUUGCGCCUCCCCCUGGGCUUCUCUGCCUUGUUUUUCUCCACGGCUUUGUCACCAUCUGACAUACUGUGGUGUGCUUUCCUUGUUUAUUUGUGGAGUGAUUGAUCAAGUCACUCUGGCAACCGUCUUAUGUCUGACUAAGGGUUUGGAAUAGUUGAUGACCCUUUCUAAAAUGCCUGUGUGAUGGGUCUGAGUUGUCGGGUACGCCUAUAAGCGCAUGUAGAAUAGGCCCCCCCUUUGUCUACAGCUCUCCGAGGCAGUAAAAAGUCAGUUGCCACUUGGUGGCUGAAGGAAUGAGUAACCCGCUACUCUUGCCUAUGAGUGAAAAGUUCCACUGAUAUUGUGUCUACGCAUUCUUUGCAAAUGUCAGUGGGAAUGAGUCACAGGCUGAGGGAUUGCACCAUGGAGCUGGCCCAAUGACUAAAUCUCCCCCUUGUGAUGUCACCAGAGUCAGUGAUGUGGAAGAAUUUGUGGACUAGAGGUGACCCCCUGCAAAAGGGGAAAGUGACGUCAUUGGGAGAUGCCUGACUCAACUCAGGUGCAGCCAUGCUGGACCUGGGCCUUGGGGCAUAGGUCAAAGGCAUGACCUUCAGGGACACUUCUGACUCCACUUCCCUGAGUUUCCUUGUGCCCAAACAUAGAUUAAGAUAAACACAUCGCAAUCACUGCAACCAUGGCAACAUUUUAUACAGUAUCUUUCUGUGAGCCGGACAUGAUUCUAACAGCUUCAUGAAUGUCAAGUCACUGAAUUCACGCACGCUCAGGAGGACCAGCAGGUGGAGGUGAAGGACAAGGAACAGACACCACCUCUCCGGAACCAUCGAGAACAUUGCAAUUCAGACUGAGCCAGUAGUCGCUCCCUGAGCCUGGCUCAGGAGUCCAUGAGUGUCAGUUUCUGGAACAUUAACAUGUCUGGGUACAUCUGAACUCCAAAGGAGGGAAGCGAAUGAACACAUAUGUAGCAUCUGUCACGGGGCCAAGCGACCCCAAGGCUUAUUUGCAUGCAAACCUCUUCCUCCUUCCCACUGCUAUACAAACCAGAUGUCACACCGGGGAUGCAAGUGAGUUAAAAAGGUGUGGGGCAUAAGAAACACAUGCUCUCUUGAAGUGACUUUCAUUUUCUCACUUUGGGUAAGAAUCAUGAGUACAGAGGGGUACUUUUCUACUCUAGGAAAGAUCACAGCCCUGCAGCUCACAGCAGCUGCCGCAGACGCUCUGGCUGGAGGGCCUGCGGUGACAGGGACUGCCUGCGGCUGGUGGGGACAGUGAGCCAAGGGACGGCCCACGCCCAUCGACAGGAGUUGGCUGUUAGCUGCGCCAGCAGGAACACAGGCCCGGGGCUGCCAGAGGUUCAAAUUCUGCAGAGAAGCCAUAAAUCUAGAUUUUUAUGUAAAAGCUCCAGGUUUUAAAAUGUUAGUGUCCCAUAACACAAUGUGUGGUCCAAAUCAACCAUUUCCAUGGGUUGGAUGCCAUCUCCACGCUACCAGUUUUCCAACUCUGGGAAGAGUUGUGCUGGCCUCUUGACUGGGGGAGGAAGAAAGCCCCGGUCCCCUAGUGGGUGGCAGGCACCUGGGAGGAGAGUUUACGCCUCUGCCUCAUCCCCUGUCACCACUCACCCACUCAUCCACCCCAUGAACCUGCCAUGCUGCGGAAGCAGAAGCUCUCAGGUUCAAGCCACUUCCCUGGGGCCGCUCAGCUGAGAAGAGGCAAAGCGGGAGUCCAGGCCAGACCGCACGGCCUCCUUCAGAAGUGAGUGGCCAGGCAGCCUGGCAGUUGCAGCCCUAUUCCUGACAGCCCCGAGGAGGAAGCAAGCCAAGUGUCCAUCAGCUGAUGAACGGAUAAAGAGAAUGUGGUCUAUCGACGGACUGCUCCGCCAUAAAGAGGAACAGACACCGGCUACAACCUGACGAGCCUUGAAAACAUUGUGUCCGUUGAGAGAAGCCAGACGCAGAAGGCAACAUGUCGUGUAGUUGUGCUCACAUGUAAUGUCCAGAACAGGAAAUCCAUAGAGACAGAAAGCAGAUUAGUA